rnacentral:misc_RNA from 1 species
ACUAUUUCUGAUACUGCCUGCUGGGAUUUUACAUUUUGUUCAUAAUUAUUUGACAUUCCACAGAUAAUACUGUCUACUUCAUGUUGAUUUCUACAGUUUAUUGAAAUACUUGAUGUACUGAUGACAAAACAGUAGUAAGAUUGAACUAAAAGAUCACCAAAAUGGCGGCUAGUUCCAUUACAAACUCAACAAUACCCCUUGACAAGGCUAUAUCAAUUAAAUCAGGGCUAAAGUCUUCAGGACAAGUUGGUGGCUCUCCGAUAGUUGUACCUGCACACUGCAUUGAGGAAAUUGAAAUAAACCGUGCAGACAGCAAAGUUAACAGUAAAGGUGUUUCCAGGAAGCAAUUUCAAAGUAAACAAAUAUGUAGAAUUGCUGAGGAACCAUUAUGCAAAGAAGCCGAGGGGCCAGUGUCAAAUGAUACUAAGGAAAGUGUGUGCAAAGAAACUGAGACACCAUUAUGCACUGAGUCUGAGGAACCAGUGUGCAAAGGAACUGAGGAGCUUUUGUCCAAAGAUAUUGAGGAAAUAGUAUGCAGAGAAACUGGGGAACGAAUAUAUAAGAAAACUGAGGGACAAGUUUGCAAAAAAAUUAAGGAAAUAGGGUGCAUGGAAACUGAGGAACCAGUUUGCGAAGAAACAGAGGAAUCAGUGAUCAAAGAAAUUGAAGAACCAACGUCCAAAGUACAUGUAACUGAAGAAAUACAGUGCAAAGAAAUUGAAGAACCAGUGUGCAAAGAAAAUGAAGAAACAGUGUGCAAAGAAACAGAGGAACCAGUGUGCAAAGAAACUGAGGAACCAGUGUGUAAAGAAACUGAGGAGCGAAUAGUGAAAGAAACAGAGGAACCAGUGUACAAAGAAAUAGAGCAAUUAGUGAGCAAAAAAACUGAGGAACCAGUGCUCAAAGAAACAGAGGAACCAGUGUGCAAAGAACCUGAGGAACCAGUGUGUAAAGAGACUGAGGAACAAGUAUGCAAAGAAACUGAGGAACCAGUGUGCAAAGAAACUGAGGAACCAGUGCUCAAAGAAAAAGAGGAACCAGUUUGUAAAGAAACUGAGGAACCAAUAUGGAAGGAAACUGAGGAGCCAGUAUGGAAAGAAACAGAAGAACCAGUUUGGAAAGAAACUGAGGAGCCAGUAUGGAAUGAAAUGGAGAAACCAGUGAACAAUGAAACAGAGGAACCAUUGUCUGAAUCAACUAAGUUCACAGACAAGGUGGAAAGUGUGAAGUACACUGAUGUUGGUCACAUACCUAGAUCUUCAAACAUUGAGCUGUCUGAAUCCACAAAGAUAACUGGUGGUGAAAAUGUCUCGAGUAAUACACCUAUCAAGGAAUCAGAAUCAGCAGAGCAAAUAGCCUCAAGCAAAGAUUUCAGUAAUUUAGAUAUUGAGGAAGAAUCAAAUCAGAUUAUGAACAGUUCAGAUGAACUUGAGAACACUGAAGCUGAUAGUAACUGCAUAGCAACCAGUUCGGUAUAUGAUAACCCAAAAUUUGAAGAUGAGUCUUACUGUUUCCACAAUCAAGAAUUGGAAUCUAAAGAAAACACUUACAAUUAUACAGCUGAUGUAGGAACUGACUCGCAUGGAGCUGUAGAUGGUGCAGUAUCCACAAGAGUAAGUCUUAAGGAACAACAUUAUCUUGAAAAAGAUGAAAGUGUAAUUGUAAUUGUAGAUAAGAGUGAAACUGAUGAAACGAACACAAAAAAUGAAAUUGCCAGAGCUGACCAUGAUAUAAUUGUAGCUAAAAGUGCUGAAAAAAUAAGACUGCUUGCAGCUGAUAUUGUGGCUAACACAAAGGUUGCAUACAAGGUGUUCAGUGGUUGUAGUUGUAGCCAAAAACUAAAGGUUGGCUUCGUCUUAGUGUUUACAUGUCUCCAGAGUGUUGCCCUAAACAGCCAUCAAAGAAUAGGUACCGUUGUAAAGCAAGCAUAUUCACUCUUAAAUCUGUCAUUUUUAGGGUUUGGGGAACAAUCUGUUUUUGCUGCUGCUUAUCAGUCUCUUGUUGGUCUAUCUGAACCAAACUUACCAGGCAUUGACUCAUUUCAUAACUUGAAUAAUACUUUGGGUGUUGUCAUGAGACCAGUUCCUACAGACGUAUCUAACUCUAGAGAACAUGAAGAACUCGGGGACACACCUCCAGAUUCUGUUGUGUUUUCAGCACUUCAUAACCAUACAGAAGUUGACAGGUAUCCUGAAACACAUCCUCUGCAAGGUAGUCCAGAACAGAACAGAACUGGCUAUAGAGAAGCUAAUGAAAGUGUACAUGGCCAAACACGUGCUCAAACAGAGGACAUCCCUGAACUUCAAGCUCCAAGAAGAGACCAGCUGAGCCUCACUUUAGAUCAAACUGAAUUGAAGGCCAGAUGCGUUGAUGAAAACUUGACCAAUAUUGGUCUGACAAUAGUUUCUCAGGAUGGCAGAAGAACAACAGUUACUAGAAGAGAAACAACACACAGUCAAGAAGGCAUCAAACCUUACAGUGAUGAUUUUGAAAUACAGUCUUACCUGUUCAAUUUGACUCGGUUUAACUCACUGUGUGAUAUUCCUCCUGGAUUGUCAGACAGAAAUAACAGGGCCAACACCUUCAGAUACCUGCCAUGGCCUCAUUCAUAUCUUACACCACAGCAGAUGGCAGAUGCUGGUUUAUUUUACACUGGUAUUCGGGAUGUCACAAGGUGUUUUUAUUGUGGAAACUGCUUGGAAGAUUGGAAACAAGGAGAAGAUCCGUUUAUUGAACACAGAAAUCUGUAUCCAGAGUGCAACUAUGUGAUUGUACAUUCAGAAAAUAGAGCUCCAACUGAGAGUCAACAUGGAGCGAUUGAAGCUACAGGAAUCAGUCAUGAACAUGGGACAGAAGAUCCAGUUUAUCAUCAGGAUACAGAACGUGAAAGACAUUGCAGAAGAGAUACUGAAUCGCAACGGUUACAGAUAUUUCAGCAAGAGACACAGAAUCUACAACCGCAUACGGAACUAAACAGAAGUGACCAUGAAAGAUUUAGGUUUUCCUUGGCCCCAGGGGAGAUUAUGUUUGGUCCACACAGAAGCCAGGAGUCUUCUGGGAUACAAGAAACAUGUGGUUCACAAAAUGUCAGCAGUCAGGCUGAAGGGCCAUCACUUGUAAUCAACGAAAUAGAGGAGGCAGUAUCUCGACAGCAGAGGAGGUCUCCUCUAGACAGGAGAUCUGUGUCCAGGAUUGUGAACCCUUCUGCAGAGAGAGUAAGACCUACAGGUAUAACUUGGUAAAGCUCAGAGAGCAUAAGAAGACCACGUGAUAUUGAGGGAAUUCUAGAUUCAGAAGUUGGCAGACUGGUUCUUUAUGAAGGCUUCUCUAGAAGAAAUGUUGCUGAAGCUGUAGAGAACAUACUCAGAGAUGAUGGUGUCAUUA